UUAAAAAAGGUUUGAUUGAAAUCCAAGAUAGUAUUAGGAAAAGAAGAAAUGGCAGCAAUGAACUCAAGUGUAUUGGCUUGCAGCUAUGCUAUAUCAGGCAUGAGUUCAUCUGAACUCACAUCAAAACAUACUGUUACUACUAUGUCUUCCCCUUCACUUCAAAAAUUGCCACUCAUCAUUAAGGCUCAACAACAAUCCAGUUCCAACAUAUCUGCUGGAAGAAGAGUUGCUCUGCUUGGCCUUGCUGCUGCACUUUUCACAUCUGCCUCUUCUGCUAAUGCUGGUGUUAUCGACGAAUAUCUUGAGAAAAGCCAAGCCAACAAGGAAUUGAAUGACAAGAAGAGGUUGGCUACAAGUGGUGCGAAUUUCGCAAGGGCGUAUACUGUUCAGUUUGGAACCUGCAAGUUCCCUGAGAACUUUACAGGAUGCCAAGACCUUGCAAAACAAAAGAAAGUGCCAUUUAUAAGUGACGAUUUGGCGUUGGAGUGUGAAGGCAAGGACAAAUACAAGUGUGGUUCAAAUGUGUUCUGGAAAUGGUGAAGCUUAGCUUGAAGAAAUGUAUUAAUCGUUUCCCAAAAUGUAUCUAUUGUGACAAUGAGAAG
rnacentral:misc_RNA from 1 species